AAGCGCCCGGUGGGUAUGCACUGAUGCUCUUUACCUCUUCUGAGAAAUCGCGGACUCCUUCAUGCUGGUGUGGUGAAUCUGGCAAUCAUGGUUCCCCUUGUAAAGGCGCAGAGGUGAUAGUGACGGGAGGAGGACGCCUGCUGUGGAGAUGGGCUGCCUCGGCCCUCGGACCGCGCAGAAUGGAAACCAGACCAGAGGAAAUCGACAAGACAUUGCUCACUACUUCCCAGCACAAAGGCACGGUCCUUCUGACACUCCCAUUUACGCUUGAGUGAGUUACCACUGAUCGCCAUUUUCGUUCUCCUUCCAGUCUGCCCGCCUGCUGUACCCGACAGACAGCGCUCUCCUUAGAAUUAGCCAAAAUCUGGGCAGACUCACCUAAAACCGGACACCGCGGCUCUUUGGCUACCUUCCUGGCCGUGCCACGCUGUGCCUCGCCCGGAUAGAUGCAGCCACAGGAAGCUGAUUUAACGACACUGUGUGCAUCGUUUCUCAUCCUCCUUCUGUGCUGAUCAAUUAAAUGUCAUUUUAUCCCAUAAGAGGGGCUGUCAGAGGGUAUCCUGUUAAUAAAGUCUAGAAAGUG